rnacentral:lncRNA from 1 species
UCUCCUCCUCUGAAUCAGCUGUGAUACUCUAUGGAUUAGCCAUUUCCAUCAUCCCAAAGCUCUGUAGAUCCUUGCUCUGGUUGAACCGCUGAAUGUACCCCGACUACAUUCUCGUCUUUUUACAUCCAUAGGCUGUAUGGUCGCUUCUUCAGCUCCACCUCAACCAUUAUCCUUUGGAGAACCUCUCCUCUAGCACUCCAGACUUGCCAAUCACUUCUCAUCCACC